rnacentral:lncRNA from 1 species
GUGAAUUCCAUGCAGAAGAAACAGCAGCUUCCCUUGACAACUUCCUCUCAGACUGCCCCAGCUGAUAUCCUGCCCAAAAACACACAUGCUUGCAAAUCCAGCCACUAACCAUUGACCUGUCUUGGACUCAAGUGUGAAGAGUCAGCCAAGAAUGCAGACCUGGAAGCCUAGGGUGUAUGUGUGUGUAUUUGUAGUCAAGUGAAAAUCCCACCCAAGCUCCAGACAGACCCUGGUGGCCCAUUCUGCAGAUGUUGGUGAGGUUGGUAUUUCUGUGGAGGUGUCAGCAAAGGUUGAAUGUGCCAGGCAUGAGGCAAAGGCCAAGGUUUAGGGGGACUUCUACACACACAACUUCCCCCUUGCCUCGUCCAGCCAGAAAGCAGAGAGCAGUGGCAUCUGCCCAGCACAGAGGCAGAUGGAUGGAUCCACUCACCCGAGGAUAGAGCAGGGAAGACGGGACAGGAGAAAUCCAAGAGGGCUUCUCAGGGGAGGAGGCAUGUAGUUUGGCUUAGAUACAGAGGCUAGACAGGGGCCUGAGCAGAUGAGUAGGGGACUGGGCAUUUGAAGCCAAGGGUCUUGCACCUCCCUACCCCUUUCUUUGCACCCUCAUACUCGAGCAUUUAUUAGCAACUUGUGCUAACCACUGAGCUAAGCUGACCUCCAAGUAAUUAGAAAGCUUAAGUAAACCAACAUCUGUAGAUGAGAAAGGUGACUGAGGACCUACUGUUACAAAGGCAAGGUAAUUUGAGGCUGCAAUGAGCUACGAGCAACUGUGUUCCAGCCUGGGAGACAGAAUGUAAAAAAAUAGUAAUAACAGAAAGUAUACAUCAAUCUCAAUUUUUUUUAAAAAGGCAGAUGGUUUUACAGUUGUUUUAUCAAAACUCAAAGAACAGGAAAGCCCAAAUUAUUUCAACAAAGUCAGACCUUUUAAACAGAUGAUAGCUGCCCAAGUCAUUUUUAUGAAACUUCUUUAUAUCAAAACCUAAGUCUAAAAAGAGAAAAGUGUUGACCUUGAUACGGGCUGUGUUAGGCAGAGAUUUCAAUGAAGUCCUCUCUGAAGAGGUGACAUUUGAUCUGAGACCUGAAGCACCAGAAAGAGGCAGCCAAGCCAGGAAGAGGCAGGAAUGGGAAGGUCUAGGGAAAGACUGGUCCUGGCAGGCGGAACUGCAGUGGCAAAGGCCCAGCGGUGAUCAGGAGCUUGGCAUUUGCAAAAAUAAAGAGUGUGUGUGACUGGACAGCGUGAGCAAGUGGGCAGAGGAGGAGAUCGUGAUAGGGUGUGCAUUGGUCAGGCCACCUAGGUCCUGGAGCCCACAGUGAGAAGCAUGGGCUUGACUCUGAGGGCAAAGGAGAGCCACGGAUAGUUUGGGUAAAGGGGAAAGUUGGCAUUUAAUUUUAUAGCUUUUUGAAGUUUGUUUUGUUUUCUUAGAAACAAGGUCUCAGUCUGUUACCCAAACUGGAGUGCAGCUCAAAAUAUUUUCCAAUUUAUCUUGUGAUUUUUUUUGAUCCAAUGAUUUAGAGGUGGGUUGUUAAAUUUUCACAUAUUUUCAGAUGUCCAAUAUUUCUUACUGUUGUUAGUUUCUAAUUCUGUUUCAGUCAGAUAACUUAUUUGUUUUCCCUGUCUCUCCUGUCUUCUGAUCCUGUUUUUCCAUUGACUACCAUUUUUAAAAUCAACUUAUUUCAGUGUGUCAUUUACAAUCCUAUUUUAAUUUUUUGCUCUUUCUCUGAAGUGGUUGUUCCAGGGAUUAUAAUGUGCUUUUCCAUUUUUCCAACGAAUGAAGAACGAAGUGAUCGACUUCUUGCCUCUGCCGGGGCUCUGAAGCGCUGCCCCGAGGCGGUGGAUGGAGGGUGUCAGGCGUGACAUCAAGAGCUCUGCAGCCAGGGCCUGGGACAACCUCCCGCUCCACCUCCCCGGAGCCUCGCAGCCAGCAUCCCCAGCGGCCCGUGCGCCCCGGCCAAGCGGGACCUCAGCGCUGUGGCGGCCGCAGACCUCACCUGGGCAGGCCCCGGGCUGCAUGCGGACCGCCGGGCGCCCAGGACUCUAGAGGCAACCAGCGGGCUGGAUCCGCACAGCGGCCCUGGGAAAUGGAUGGUGUACAGGGGACAAAGCUACACACGUCUUUCAUUUUGGAGGGGGGAAAAAAGAAAAAACGGAAAUGAAAGAUAGAAAAUGUGUGGGCUCUCCGUCCUUUCCUUUGCUCCUGAGCGCUCUCUGGGGUGGGGGGCUCAGCGAGCUUCAAGAGGUGGCCGAGAUUCCCCCACCUCGCCCCCAGAUCCCCGGGAGAGGUCAGCACGGCCCCUCCCUUGGGUGUCACAGAGACCGAUGCGGGUCCCGCUCCCCGGGAAGGAGUGGGUCUGGGUCCAGUCCGCAGGAUCCCCUCGCGGAUGCUGACGCUGAAUGGAGUUGAGGUGGGGGCAGCGCUGGACCCCAGGGUCCCUGCCUGCCUCCUGGGGAGCCCGGUG